UACGGGGGGAGCAAGCGUUGUUCGGAUUUACUGGGCGUAAAGGGCGCGUAGGCGGUCGUGACUAGUCACUUGUGAAAUCUCCGGGCUUAACUCGGAACGGUCAAGUGAUACUGUCGGACUAGAGUACAGAAGGGGCAACUGGAAUUCUCGGUGUAGCGGUGAAAUGCGUAGAUAUCGAGAGGAACACCUGCGGCGAAGGCGGGUUGCUGGGCUGAUACUGACGCUGAGGCGCGAAAGCCAGGGGAGCGAACGGG
rnacentral:rRNA from 1 species